UGUUUACGCUUUACAUUAACUGUUAUUUUUAUACACAAGCGCAGCGAUCUCUUGCGGAUUAAUUUGCGCCAGUAUCAAUGACGUAAAACAACUGUGGUGCUUGUACAUAACAACGUUAGAAAUUGGCGUAACAUGCAAAAAAGACGGGCUAAACAUUAUCAAGGCGCUGCAAAAGACAGUAUUGUUGUGGUUAAUUACGUAACUUCGACAGACAUUAAAAAUACGCAACUAACGAGAUUCGGCGAUGCGUGAAACGAAGGUUUAUUAUCUGAUUAUUUGACAACCUGUUAUCAACUCAAGAAUGAGCCUUAUGAAGAAUAUUACGACCAAAUUCAAUCGAAGUUACUCUUUACGUUGGAACAUAUAACUUUACAAGGAGCUGAUUUGAAUUUGAAACCAUAUAACAGGGGCAACCAAACUCCUUGAUAGUUCGAACCAUUUUACUUCUCUUGAUAAUUAAAAUUUGGUAAAUUAUUAGAGAAGCUGGUUAGCCAAUACUGGUCGAUGCUUGGGUUUCACGAAUUUGAAAGUGGAAUCAAAUGAUUCUCGUAAGCGACCGUUGUUCUAUCGUUGCAACUGUAGCUGACUUCAUUUAUUCAGAGAUGUGAAGAUGCAGAUCGACAUUAAGUGUUCCGGAACGACCUGAACAAACACUCAAUCGUUGCCAAUGAAAGCAACAUUUCGUUCAACAUUAUCGAAUGGAUAUGGUAUGAUAUUUAUUUCAAAUAAAUAAAAUGGAAACAUAAUAACAAUAUAACAAAAUUAUUAUUGUCAAAUUGCAUUUUUGUGUUGUAAAACUUGUAAACGACUAUUUUUUGCUUGUUUUAGGGGUUUUGAAGUAAGUAUUGAAUUUAUUUAUCAUUUUCAUUAAUAACUUUAGUGAUUAGCGCAUUAAUUAGCAACGAAAAUUGCAUUUUUGUGUUUCGAAAGGCGGAUUUUUGCUUGUUUUAGGUAUUUUGCACCUGAGGCCGACAUCGUAGGAGAACCAUUCUUGUAUCAGAUUGUGUUUUGCACCUGAGGCCGAUAUCGUAGGAGAACCGUUCUUGCAUCAGAUUUUUCCGGCAACCUCGUUCUAGUUCCUGCUCCCGAAAGUAGAUGGCGCCAGGAGUUGUUCACACUACUCUGUAAAUUAGUUUAGGGUGUUGCUACUAGAUGGCGCUAGAGGUAUGUUACAUUAUCCUGUAAAUUACUUUGGGUGGUCGAUACUAGAUGGCACAAGUAUCGGAUUUAUCCGGAUAGCAAUCAAAAUCAAUAUUUUCCACUUAGUCUAUCCUGCGCUGUUAUGGGCGCGCGUGUGUUUUUGCCUCUACAUUUGCUCUCGGCUGCAACUUGCAUUUUGUCGGAUUUUAAAUUCCGCGUUAUUUAAUUCUACUGUCGAAAAGUAAACGAUUUAGUUAGUGGCUUUAUCAUGUGCCCUCGUGUGUGCUGACGUUUGACGGUCGUCGGAUCAUUUUCUGUGGCUUCGAUUUCUAGGAAUUGGAUUCAUUAAUCAAAAUUGUUCAAGUAUUAAUUCGUGAAAAUAAACCAUUUGUGUUCCGCCUGUGGAAAAAUUGUUAGUUCAAAAAUAUUAAAAUGUCAAGGAGUUGAACGUGACCUCGGUGUACAAUUGUGCGCGCAUUCAAUUGUGAGUAUCGAAAUUCUUAUCAUUUUCAUAUCUGCUUUGUUCACGUAGCCAGCUAUAUCUUUUCCUUCUUUAGUCGAUCGUGCGAUGUUGUUCGGUACACACGUGUUUUGUUCACAAGUCGAUCUUCGUAACUAGUUUGUGCGUUUCUUGUGAUUUUAAGUCGGUAGUUGAAUUAGAAUCGAUCAGCAAAGGUAACAUUUAGAAUUACCGGCCUAGUGCGGCGUGCAAUUAAUGAAUUAUCACGGGUGGAAGUCAGAAUUGUGUAGUUUUACAAUGUGCGCACGUUUUUGCCGUCGGCCGUCGGAUAUCUUACGUCGGCUGAGAAGUCCGUCUCAGUGGUUUUAUUUGCGUAGUGAUAUUAAUUUGUGAAACUAUACAAUGUUUGUCCCCGUGUGGAACAUUUUAACCGAGAAAGUGCACGUUGGUAACUGCAACAUUAACAUUUGAUGAAUUAAACAAUUAGUGAAGAUGGACGAAAAGAAUUUAUCAGACGUUAAGGAAAAGCGAGGUAACCGUUGAAUAAGUAAAUACUCUGAAAAUAAUUAAAUUUUAACAAAUAAUUUUAAAAUUCAAUAUGUACUCUUGUGAUUGUAUGAGUUGCAAUAAACUAUUCUUUUAAUAU